rnacentral:lncRNA from 1 species
AAUGAUGAGAACACAUGGACACAAAGGGUGUGAGGUGAAAGGUGGGAAGAAGAAGAGGAUCAGAAAAAAUAACUAAUGGCCGCUAGGCUUAAUAUCUAGGUGAUGAAAUAAUCUGCACAACAAACCUCCAUGAUACAAGUUUAUCUAUGUAACAAACCUGCACAUGUACCCCUGAAUGUAAAAAGUUAAAAAAAAAAAAAAAAGGCCAGGCACAGUGGCUCACGCCUGUAAUCCCAGCACUUUGGGAGGCCGAGGCAGGCAGAUCACCUGAGGUCAGGAGUUUGAGACCAGCCUGGCCAACAUGGAGAAACCCCCUCUCUACUAAAAAUACAAAAAUUAGCUGGGCAUGAUGUUGCAUGCCUGUAAUCCCAGCUACUCAGGAGGCUGAGGUAAGAGAAUCACUUGAACCUGGCAGGCGGAGGUUGCAGUAAGCCGAGAUCGCUCCACUGCACUCCAGCCUGGAGCAAGACUCUGUCUAAAUGGCUUUGGAAAGUAGCUUCUGCUGCAGACUUGAUAAUGUUUCUUAAUGAAUUAAGCCUCAAACUACAAGAUGAAACAGAGGUUGUAUACAAAACUGCUAUUCAAUAAAGUCAUUUGGAUGACAACAAUGCGGUUGGAACCAUAAGCAAUAUCAAGCCGCUUUAUUUACUCCCUCUGCUGUCAAAAAUUAAAACAAGAAGCAAGAUCUCCAUCCGGUACAAAUUUGCAGAGAAUAUAUUUUCCAAUACUGUUCCAGCAAUAUUUUUCAUA